AUUGAACGCUGGCGGCAUGCCUUACACAUGCAAGUCGAACGGGGGUAGCAAUACCCUAGUGGCGAACGGGUGAGUAAUGCAUCGGAACGUGCCCAGUCGUGGGGGAUAACGUAGCGAAAGUUACGCUAAUACCGCGUACGUCCUGAGGGAGAAAGCGGGGGACCGUAAGGCCUCGCGCGAUUGGAGCGGCCGAUGUCGGAUUAGCUAGUUGGUGGGGUAAAGGCCUACCAAGGCGACGAUCCGUAGCUGGUCUGAGGGGAUGAUCAGCCACACUGGGACUGAGACACGGCCCAGACUCCUACGGGAGGCAGCAGUGGGGAAUUUUGGACAAUGGGCGAAAGCCUGAUCCAGCCAUGCCGCGUGAGUGAAGAAGGCCUUCGGGUUGUAAAGCUCUUUCGGACGGAAAGAAAUCGGGUGGGUAAAUAAUCCAUCUGGAUGACGGUACCGUAAGAAGAAGCACCGGCUAACUACGUGCCAGCCGCCGCCGUAAGAC
rnacentral:rRNA from 1 species